GUAACAGAGGGUUUGAUCCUGGCUCAGGAUUGAACGCUGGCGGGAUGCUUUACACAUGCAAGUCGAACGGCAGCACGGACUUCGGUCUGGUGGCGAGUGGCGAACGGGUGAGUAAUGUAUCGGAACGUGCCUAGUAGCGGGGGAUAACUACGCGAAAGCGUAGCCAAUACCGCACAUUGCCCUUCGGGGAAAGCGGGGGACCUUCGGGCCUCGCACUAUUAGAGCGGCCGAUAUCGGAUUAGCUAGUUGGUGGGGUAACGGCUCACCGCGCGACGAUCCGUAGCUGGUUUGAGAGGACGACCAGCCACACUGGGACUGGAGAUAUCGGCCCAGACUCCUACGGGAGGCAGCAGUGGGGAAUUUUGGACAACAAUGGGGAAACCCUGAUCCAGCCAUCCCGCGUGUGCGAUGAAGGCCUUCGGGUUGUAAAGACCUUUUGGCAGGAAAGAAACGUGGCACGGGAUAAUACCCCCAGCAACUGACGGUACCUGCAGAAUAAGCACCGGCUACUACGCCAGCAGCCGCGGUAAUACGUAGGGUGCAAGCGUUAAUCGGAAUUACUGGGCGUAAAGCGUGCGCAGGCGGUUCGGAAAGAAAGAUGUGAAAUCCCAGAGCUUAACUUUGGAACUGCAUUUUUAACUACUGAGCUAGAGUGUGUCAGAGGGUGUGGAAUUCGCGUGUAGCAGUGAAAUGCGUAGAUAUGCGGAGGAACACCGAUGGCGAAGGCAGCCUCCUGGGAUAACACUGACGCCUGCACUGAAAGCGUGGGGAGCAAACAGGAUUAGAUAACCCAGUAGUCCACGCUCUAAACGAUGUCAACUAGCUGUUGGGGCCUUCGGGCUCUGGUAGCAGCUAAUUCCGUGAAGUUGACCGCCUGGGGAGUACGGUCGCAAAGAUUAAAACUCAAAGGAAUUGACGUGGGGACCCGCACAAGCCGGUGAUGAUGCAUUGAAUUGACGCAACGCGAAAAACCUUACCUACCCUUGACAUGUCUGGAAUCCUGAAGAGAUUUGGGAGUGCUCGUAAAGAGAACUGGAAGCAGGUGCUGCAUGGCUGUCGUCAGCUCGUGUCGAGAUGUUGGGUUAAGUCCCAACGAGCAACCCUUGUCAUUAGUUGCUACGAAAGGCACCCCACGAGACUGUUGCGACAAACCGGAGGAAGGUGGGGAUGUCAAGUCCUCAUGGCCCUCAUGUAGGGCUUCACACGUCAUACAAUGGUCGGGACAGAGGGUCGCCAACCCGCGAGGGGGAGCCAAUCCCAGAAACCUGAUCGUAGUCCGGAUCGCAGUCUGCAACACGACUGCGUGAAGUCGGAAUCGCUAGUAAUCGUGGAUCAGCAUGUCGCGGUGAAUACGUUCCCGGGUCUUGUACACACCGCCUGUCACACCAUGAGUGGGUUUUACCAGGAAGGGAUAGCUCAACCGUAAGGGGAGGGCGAUUACCACGGUAGAUUCAUGACUGGGGUGAAGUCGUAACAAGGUAAC
rnacentral:rRNA from 1 species